CCUACGGGAGGCAGCAGUGAGGAAUAUUGGUCAAUGGGCGCAAGCCUGAACCAGCCAAGUCGCGUGAGGGAAGACGGCCCUACGGGUUGUAAACCUCUUUUGCCGGGGAGCAAGCCUGAGCACGUGUGCCCAGGCGGAGAGUACCCGGAGAAAAAGCACCGGCUAACUCCGUGCCAGCAGCCGCGGUAAGACGGAGGAUGCGAGCGUUAUCCGGAAUUACUGGGCGUAAAGGGUGUGCAGGCGGCUGAGUAAGACAGAUGUGAAAUCCCCGGGCUUAACCUGGGAACCGCAUAUGAGACUGGUUGGCUAGAGUGCGUCAGAGGGAGGUGGAAUUCGAGGUGUAGCAGUGAAAUG
rnacentral:rRNA from 1 species